UUCAUCUCUGCCCCUCACAUCCUCUUCCCAGCCCCCUCCCCCUUCUCUGUUUUAACUCCGUGUCAUUCCCAGUCUUUCCCAGACAGACUCGACAGGUCACCGGUCGGGUCUGCUGACAUCUGCCCCAUCAGUCAUUCCCGCCCAAGGCCCCGCCCUCCAAUCUCCCAUACAAGGUAUCGGAGGAUUGCGGCUCUUGGAAGUCCAUCCACUUCAUAAGGAGAACAGAGGGGUCCAUGUGAUGACGAUAGUUAGUGUUCUGGAGAUCCGCGGCGAAGACCUCUUCUCAUACGCUGCAUGGCGUCUACUGCUCAGAACGCUGCCUGGUCCUCACACACUCACAGAUGGAUGACAGGAGAGGCCGCAGAGGGGUUGCGAUGGAGAUGAGGAGACUGAAGAUGGACAUCACUGUGGAGCAGCAUUAAGGUGCAACAAUAAGAUACACCGUAUUUUCCGGACUCUAAAGCGCACCAUAUACGUAUAAGCCACACUCACAAGUUUUUGGAAGAAAAAAACUUUUCUCCAUAUAUUAUCCACUGAUAUAUAUUUUCUGAAAUUAGUUUUUUACAAGGAAUUAAAUUGCAAAUGUUUAUAUACAUAACUUAAUUGUUUCCAAACGGUGCCUGUAACACGGCAGUAAAAUGGCUGAUCAAACAAAACAGAAGUCAUCGUUUUCCACCCAUUAUCUGUGGAAGAUAACUCUCCAAUCAGCUAAACAGACUCCAUAACUCCACAGUGACGUUUUGGAGAAUUUACAAAACUGCAACAAUACAAAGUUGUUUUUUUUUGUUUUGUUUUUUUGUCCUGUCCAGCUUCUCAGGCAAAUCAUAUAGUUGAUGUAGAUGCCCAUAUCGGCUCUUCAGAUUUACUUUACAAAAGAGAAGUGUAAGAUACUUCUCUCGUUGCCUUAUUUGAAUUUGACUUUAUUAAAUGUAUUUAUAUUAUCAUUUGGGGCAGCCGGGCCGGAGCAGGAGGGGAUAGAAAGAGGAAAAAAGGAAGACAGAGGGGGAAAUUGUGGGGAUAAGAGGGGCAUUAGACAGAGAGACAAUACAAAGUUGAUAAAUGAAUGAAUUGAUUAACGUGGACUAACUUAUUUGGGUGUUACCAUUUAGUAGUCAAUUGUACGAAAUAUGUACUGUACUGUGCAAUCUACUCAUAAAAGUCUCAAUCAGUCAAUCAAUAAAACUAACACAGACACUUGAAAAAAUGUUAGCAUAUUAGCUCAUGCUAACAAUGCUAGCCUGAUUACAGCCAUCACACGUGGGACAGUUUAGUAAGUAUGAAUUGUUUUAGUUAUAUUGUAAAACUUACAAACGUUGCUGAGGGUGAUGAGUGAAGAAUCCUUUCGAGCAGAAACGCUAUGGACGGCUUUACUUGCGGCUCAAGGCAGGAAACAGGAAGUACAUUUUUAACCUGCAGCACCUGCAGUGGCCGAAAUCGUCCAAAAGAUGAAGCCAUAGCAUAAAAAAAAUAACACCAACUUUGCCGGUGUUCUUUGAAAACUAUUUGUUGAAUAUGAAACGUCAAGGAAAAUCACAUAAAUUAGUCUCACCAUUCUUUAGGCCACCGAGUUGAAAUGGUAGAAAAAAAGUAGCUGUUUACAGUCCGGCAAAUACGGUGUUUAUUUAGAUACUACUUUUUAUUAAUUUAUUCUAUUUUAUUAUUAAAUGAAUCAUUUUGUAUUCCAAUAAUAUAUUUCAUAACAUGGUUGAACAAAUAAGAUGUAGUUUUGCAACAUACUGAGUUUUCUUCUAUUUAGUUUACCUUUUCAACGAGACAUCCUACACCACAUGUGUCUAACUCAAGACCCAGGGCCCACAUGUGGCCCACCACAUCGUUAAAUGGCCUUUGAAAGCCUGGGCAAAAAUAUGCAUCAAUAGAAUAUUUCAUCGUUCUUACAAAAUAAAUGUAUUCGUAUUUUCCAUUUUGAGAGAAAAAAACACAUGUACUGCAUGCAAUUUAAAAUAUUUUAUACUAUAAUAUCUAAAAUGCAACAAAUAUUUUAUCAUACAUUCAAACAUUUGUGUUACUAUUUAAACAUCUGCUUGACUUAUGAUUUCACAGCAAGUCAUUCUUCAAAUUGGACUUUACAGAAAUGGCAGCUCGGUCGGCAGAAUUUUACCAUAGAAAAACUGCGGUCCUGUUCUUCCAUUUACAGUAAUACACCAUAAAAAUAACAUCUGUAGAUUUUACAUUUGGAAAAAAAUAGCACUUUUGUUACUGCAAUUCUACUGUUAAAAAAACAUGGGACUAUUUUUCUAUUUAUAGUAAUAUACUGUGAAUACACCAUAGGUUUUACUGUAAAAUUCUGGUGAAUCACCGUAAAAUGUACAUAUUCAUUUUAAUAGUGUAGGUGAAAACUAUAUAAUAAUAAUAAUAAUAAUUGUAUUUUAUUCUUAUUUUAAUAUUUUUCUAUUUUGUUCCCAUUUAAACCCCCAUUAUUUACUUUUUACUUUUUAAAUUGAUCUCAACUCUGUACACAGCUGCUGGAAUUUUAAUUUUCCUGAAGGAACUCUCCUGAGGGAAUCAAUAAAGUACUAUCCAUCUAUCUAUCUAUCUAUCUAUCUAUCUAUCUAUCUAUCUAUCUAUCUAUCUAUCCAUCUAACUAUCUAUCUAUCUAUCCAUCUAUCUAUCUAUCUAUCUAUCUAUCUAUCUAUCUAUCUAUCUAUCUAUCUAUCUAUCUAUCUAUCUAUCUAUCUAUCUAUCUAUCUAUCUAUCUAUAUAUCCACCCAUCCAUCUAUCUAUCUAUCUAUCUAUCUAUCUAUCUAUUUAUCUAUCUAUCUAUCCAUCUAUCUAUAUAUCCAUCCAUCCAUCCAUCCAUCUAUCUAUCUAUCUAUCUAUCUAUCUAUCUAUCCAUCUAUCUAUCUAUCUAUCUAUCUAUCUAUCUAUCUAUCUAUCUAUCUAUCUAUCUAUAUAUCCAUCCAUCCAUCCAUCCAUCUAUCUAUCUAUCUAUCCAUCUAUCUAUCUAUCCAUCCAUCCAUCUAUCUAUCCAUCUAUCCAUCUAUCUAUCUAUCUAUCUAUCUAUCUAUCUAUCUAUCUAUCUAUCUAUCUAUCCAUCUAUCUAUCUAUCUAUCUAUCUAUCUAUCUAUCUAUCUAUCCAUCUAUCUAUCUAUCUAUUUAAUAAAAGGCAUAGGCAAUAGUGUAAUAAUAUCGUGAGGCGGAUCCUCAUGCAUCUAUCUUCAUAAAUGAUCUAAGGUUACUAAUAGGGACUCGGUAAAAAAAAACACUUUGACACUCCUGCUCUACACUCUAAACCAGUGGUCCCCAAACUACGGCCCGCGGACCAGAUCCGGCCCACCAGCAUUCGAGAUCUGGCCCACGGGAAGUCCCAAGUUAAAUGUUUAUUUUAUUUUAUUUUUUAAAUCUGUUCUUUUCUAACCCAUUGGGAUUAUCU